GGGAUGCGGUCAUGUCGCGCAGAGAUGCGCUAGAACGGCCCGAUUAUCCCAUGAGCACGGGGCACGGAGCGGGGAUUCUCCCCCAACAACCAGCUCGUUCUUUUAUUGCUCGGCACUUGGAAACAGAAGGCAGUAAGAGACAAAGCUUUUAGCAUGUCCAGCCCAAGAGCAAUGCAGAACCUGUAUUUUGCUUUAUGUACUUAUUUUAUGGAUGUCUUUGAAAAAACCAGAAGCUCACAGAACACUGAGAGAAUCCAGACCUAUUUGGCCUCAGUCUGUACUAAAGGAGGAUGCUGCCUGCUAUUUCA